rnacentral:rRNA from 1 species
UAAUGACGGUACCUGGAGAAAAAGCCCCGGCUAACUUCGUGCCAGCAGCCGCGGUAAUACGAAGGGGGCUAGCGUUGCUCGGAAUUACUGGGCGUAAAGGGAGCGUAGGCGGGUUGACAAGUUGGAGGUGAAAGCCCAGGGCUCAACCCUGGAAUUGCCUUCAAAACUGUCAGCCUUGAGUAUGGAAGAGGUAAGUGGAACUCCGAGUGUAGAGGUGAAAUUCGUAGAUAUUCGGAAGAACACCAGUGGCGAAGGCGACUUACUGGUCCAUGACUGACGCUGAGGCUCGAAAGCGUGGGGAGCAAACAGGAUUAGAUACCCUGGUAGUCCACGCUGUAAACGAUGAUUGCUAGUUGUCGGGCAGUAUACUGUUCGGUGACGCAGCUAACGCAAUAAGCAAUCCGCCUGGGGAGUA